rnacentral:lncRNA from 1 species
CCUUCCUUCUUUCUAAUUUUUUCUCUCCCUCUCUCCUUUCCCUCUUUCCCUCCCUCCCUCCCUCCCUCCCUCCCUCCCUUCCUUCCUUCCUUCCUUCCUUCCUUCCUUCCUUCCUUCCUUCCUUCCUUCCUUCCUUCCUUCCUUCCUUCCUUCCUUUCUUUCUUUCUUUCUUUCUUUCUUCCCUUUCUUUCUUUCUUUCUUUCUUUCUUUCUUUCUUUCUUUCUUUCUUUCUUUCUUUUCUUUCUUUCUUUCUUCCUUUCCUUUCUUUCUUUCUUUCUUUCUUUCUUUCUUCCUUCCUUUCCUUUCUUUCUUCCUCCCUUCCCUUCCUUUCUUUCUUUUCUUCCUUCCUUUCCUUCCUUCCUUCCUUUUGAUUUUGUUUUAUAGUGUUUUAUCAAAGAAAUUUGUUAUAAAUUUUUUCUAUAGUUUUUGUUUCCGUUUAAAUCUUGGUUACAUUGGUUUUGUUUGUACCAAACUUUUUAAAUUUAAUAUAGUCAGAAUUAUUCAUUUUACAUCUCAUAAUAUUCUCUAUCUUUUAUAUGGUCAUACAUUUUCCCCUUCUCAAUAG